rnacentral:rRNA from 1 species
UACGGAGGGUGCAAGCGUUAUCCGGAAUCAUUGGGUUUAAAGGGUCCGCAGGCGGACGUAUAAGUCAGUGGUGAAAGCCUACAGCUUAACUGUAGAACUGCCAUUGAUACUGUAUGUCUUGAAUGUGGUCGAAGUGGGCGGAAUAUGUCAUGUAGCGGUGAAAUGCUUAGAUAUGACAUAGAACACCGAUAGCGAAGGCAGCUCACUAGGCCAUAAUUGACGCUCAUGGACGAAAGCGUGGGGAGCAAACAGG